rnacentral:rRNA from 1 species
UACGUAGGGUGCGAGCGUUAAUCGGAAUUACUGGGCGUAAAGCGUGCGCAGGCGGUUCGUUGUGUCGGCGGUGAAAGCCCCGGGCUUAACCUGGGAAUGGCCGUUGAAACUGGCGAACUGGAGUGUGGCAGAGGGGGGUGGAAUUCCGCGUGUAGCAGUGAAAUGCGUAGAUAUGCGGAGGAACACCGGUGGCGAAGGCGGCCUGCUGGGCUAUGGCUGACACUGAGGCGCGACAGCGUGGGGAGCAAACAGG